rnacentral:lncRNA from 1 species
GGAGGAACUUGCAAAUCAGUAAGCAAGAAAUGAAGUCAUUGUAGUUCACAACUCAAGGCUGCAAGAGCCCUAUAUCCAGCUUUAGAGGAAGAACGAGAUACAAUUGUUUGCUUCUUAGUUUUCCAUAGAGCUGUCAAAACGGGUAACCCGGCUCAACCCGGCCCGGCCCACCACAGGUUGGUCACUUAGUGAGCCAACCCAAUCCGACUCAUUUAUUAGCGAGCUAGAAAAAUCUGAACCCGGCUCGACCCACCACAGGUUGGUGGGUAAACGGUUUGGCUCACUUGCCCAUUUAAUUAGAGUUUUUUUUUUCAAAUAAAAAAAUUACAAACUUUCUAUAUUCAAAUUUAAACAAA